rnacentral:rRNA from 1 species
UACAGAGGUCUCAAGCGUUGUUCGGAUUCCUUGGGCGUAAAGGGUGCGUAGGUGGCGCUGUAAGUCAGGUGUGAAAUUUCGAGGCUUAACCUCGAAACUGCAUUUGAUACUGCGGUGCUUGAGGACUGGAGAGGAGACUGGAAUUUACGGUGUAGCAGUGAAAUGCGUAGAGAUCGUAAGGAAGACCAGUGGCGAAGGCGGGUCUCUGGACAGUUCCUGACGCUGAGGCACGAAGGUCAGGGGAGCAAACGGG